AGUGAACGCUGGCGGUAGGCCUAACACAUGCAAGUCGAACGGCAGCACAGUAAGAGCUUGCUCUUACGGGUGGCGAGUGGCGGACGGGUGAGGAAUACAUCGGAAUCUACUUUUUCGUGGGGGAUAACGUAGGGAAACUUACGCUAAUACCGCAUACGACCUACGGGUGAAAGCAGGGGAUCUUCGGACCUUGCGCGAUUGAAUGAGCCGAUGUCGGAUUAGCGAGUUGGCGGGGUAAAGGCCCACCAAGGCGACGAUCCGUAGCUGGCCUGAGAGGAUGAUCAGCCACACUGGAACUGAGACACGGUCCAGACUCCUACGGGAGGCAGCAGUGGGGAAUAUUGGACAAUGGGCGCAAGCCUGAUCCAGCCAUACCGCGUGGGUGAAGAAGGCCUUCGGGUUGUAAAGCCCUUUUGUUGGGAAAGAAAAGCAGCAGGUUAAUACCCCGCUGUUCUGACGGUACCCAAAGAAUAAGCACCGGCUAACUUCGUG
rnacentral:rRNA from 1 species